UACCCGCUGAAUUUAAGCAUAUAAGUAAGCGGAGGAUAAGAAACUAAAUAGGAUUCCCUCAGUAAUGGCGAAUGAACAGGGAUAAGCUCAGCUUGGAAAUUGGGCCCUCUGGGCUUGAAUUGUAGUCUUUCGAUGGCAUUGCCAGCGGAGGCGCAGAUGUAAGCCUCUUGGAAAAGAGCAUCAAUGAGGGUGAGAGUCCCGUUUGUCAUCUGCAGUCCUCUGUUUACGGUGUGCUUUCUAAGAGUCACGUUCCUUGGGAUUGGAGCGCAAAUUGGGUGGUAAAUUUCAUCUAAAGCUAAAUAUUGGUUCGAGACCGAUAGCAAACAAGUACCAUGAGGGAAAGGUGAAAAGGACUUUGAAAAGAGAGUUAAAAGUGCCUGAAAUUGCUGAAAGGGAAGCGAAUGGAACCAGUCUUCUUGGUGAGAUUGUUGUGCGCUAUUGUGAUUGCUUUCUGCUUCAACGCAAGUGUUGCAGUGGGUUUUGAGCAUGACGCGCACUUUGUUUCUCACCUCGUGUGUCAACGUCGGUUCAGAUUUGAGGAAAACUCUAGGGACAUGGUUAAUUACUCGCGAGUGAUUGAAUGUGCCUGGUAGAACUCAUGUCUAAACUGAUUUCCGCAUGUCUGGUCGCAGUGUUCUCAUUACCUGCGUCUGGGUUCGUGGCUUGUAGCUUCUGUUACUCGUCGCGGGCUUCUGGGCCUGGUCGUGGAGCAUCUCCCUGACAUUAGUACGAUGACAAAAUGGUUUCAUUCGACCCGUCUUGAAACACGGACCAAGGAGUCUAACAUAUGUGCAAGUUCACGGGUGUUAAACCUGAUUGCGCAAUGAAAGUGACUGCUGGGAUAUUUGCACCAGCAACCGACCAAUCAAUUGUGAGAGGUUUGAGUAUGAGCAUAUCUGUUAGGACCCGAAAGAUGGUGAACUAUGCGUGAGAAGGGUGAAGUCAGGGGAAACUCUGAUGGAGGCUCGUAGCGAUACUGACGUGCAAAUCGUUCGUCAUACUUGCGUAUAGGGGCGAAAGACUAAUCGAACCAUCUAGUAGCUGGUUCCCUCCGAAGUUUCCCUCAGGAUAGCUGGAGUUGAACAGUUUUAUCAGGUAAAGCGAAUGAUUAG
rnacentral:rRNA from 1 species